GUUAAGAUCCCUAAUUCUAAGA
rnacentral:miRNA from 15 species